rnacentral:rRNA from 1 species
AUUGAACGCUGGCGGCGUGCCUAACACAUGCAAGUCGAGCGGUAACAGGUGUAGCAAUACAUGCUGACGAGCGGCGAACGGGUGAGUAAUGCUUUGGAAUCUUCCCAGUAGUGGGGAAUAACCAGUCGAAAGAUUGGCUAAUACCGCAUACGUCUGUAAAGGGAAAGCGGGGGACUCGCCUCUUCUUCGGAAGAGAGGCCUCGCGCUAUUGGAUGAGCCAAAGCGGAUUAGCUAGUUGGUGGGGUAAUGGCCUACCAAGGCGACAAUCCGUAGCUGGUCUGAGAGGACGACCAGCCACACCGGGAACUGAGACACGGUCCGGACUCCUACGGGAGGCAGCAGUGGGGAAUAUUGGACAAUGGGGAAACCCUGAUCCAGCGACGCCGCGUGUGUGAAGAAGGCCUGCGGGUUGUAAAGCACUUUUAGUGGGGACAAAAGCUACGGAUUAUACUCUGUGGUCUUGAUUUAACCUACAGAAAAAGCACCGGCUAACUCU